rnacentral:rRNA from 1 species
GACGAACGCUGGCGGCGUGCCUAAUACAUGCAAGUAGAACGCUGAAGAGAGGAGCUUGCUCUUCUUGGAUGAGUUGCGAACGGGUGAGUAACGCGUAGGUAACCUGCCUGGUAGCGGGGGAUAACUAUUGGAAACGAUAGCUAAUACCGCAUAAAAUUGAUUAUUGCAUGAUAAUUAAUUGAAAGAUGCAAUUGCAUCACUACCAGAUGGACCUGCGUUGUAUUAGCUAGUUGGUGAGGUAACGGCUCACCAAGGCGACGAUACAUAGCCGACCUGAGAGGGUGAUCGGCCACACUGGGACUGAGACACGGCCCAGACUCCUACGGGAGGCAGCAGUAGGGAGUCUUCGGCAAUGGGGGGAACCCUGACCGAGCAACGCCGCGUGAGUGAAGAAGGUUUUCGGAUCGUAAAGCUCUGUUGUAAGAGAAGAACGGGUGUGAGAGUGGAAAGUUCACACUGUGACGGUAUCUUACCAGAAAGGGACGGCUAACUACGUGCCAGCAGCCGCGGUAAUACGUAGGUCCCGAGCGUUGUCCGGAUUUAUUGGGCGUAAAGCGAGCGCAGGCGGUUAGAUAAGUCUGAAGUUAAAGGCUGUGGCUUAACCAUAGUAUGCUUUGGAAACUGUUUAACUUGAGUGCAGAAGGGGAGAGUGGAAUUCCAUGUGUAGCGGUGAAAUGCGUAGAUAUAUGGAGGAACACCGGUGGCGAAAGCGGCUCUCUGGUCUGUAACUGACGCUGAGGCUCGAAAGCGUGGGGAGCAAACAGGAUUAGAUACCCUGGUAGUCCACGCCGUAAACGAUGAGUGCUAGGUGUUAGGCCCUUUCCGGGGCUUAGUGCCGCAGCUAACGCAUUAAGCACUCCGCCUGGGGAGUACGACCGCAAGGUUGAAACUCAAAGGAAUUGACGGGGGCCCGCACAAGCGGUGGAACAUGUGGUUUAAUUCGAAGCAACGCGAAGAACCUUACCAGGUCUUGACAUCCCUCUGACCGCUCUAGAGAUAGAGUUUUCCUUCGGGACAGAGGUGACAGGUGGUGCAUGGUUGUCGUCAGCUCGUGUCGUGAGAUGUUGGGUUAAGUCCCGCAACGAGCGCAACCCCUAUUGUUAGUUGCCAUCAUUCAGUUGGGCACUCUAGCGAGACUGCCGGUAAUAAACCGGAGGAAGGUGGGGAUGACGUCAAAUCAUCAUGCCCCUUAUGACCUGGGCUACACACGUGCUACAAUGGCUGGUACAACGAGUCGCAAGCCGGUGACGGCAAGCUAAUCUCUGAAAGCCAGUCUCAGUUCGGAUUGUAGGCUGCAACUCGCCUACAUGAAGUCGGAAUCGCUAGUAAUCGCGGAUCAGCACGCCGCGGAAAGACGUUCCCGGGCCU